rnacentral:misc_RNA from 1 species
GAUGAAGAACGUAGCGAAAUGCGAUAAGUAAUGUGAAUUGCAGAAUUCAGUGAAUCAUCGAAUCUUUGAACGCACCUUGCACCCUUUGGUAUUCCGAAGGGUAUGCUCGUUUGAGUGUCAUUGUACUCUCACACUUCUAAUUCCUUUCGGGAUUGGGAGCGGUGGACUUGGGUGUUGCUGCUUUAGUUGUGGCUCACCUCAAAUAAGUUAGUGCAACUCUUGGUUGGACAUAGUACGGCGUGAUAAGUGUCUUCGCCGGCGCCUCUGUAAGGAGGGUGGCCGAUCGGGAGCUCUGUGCUUCAAACCGUCUUCGGACAAUCUUUGACAACUUGACCUCAAAUCGAGUAGGACUACCCGCUGAACUUAAGCAUAUCAUAAGCGGAGGA